GACAGAGGCCCCAAGCGUUAGGCGGAAUCACUGAGCUUAAAGCGUGUGUAGGCGGACGCCUAAGUGUCUUGUGAAAUCCCACGGCUCAACCGUGGAACCGCUGGGUAUACUGGUUGUCUUGAGCCGGCUAGGGGCGAGCGGAACAGACGGUGGAGCGGUGAAAUGCGUAGAUAUCGUCUGGAACGCCGAAGGUGAAAACAGCUCGCUGGGGCCGCGCUGACGCUGAGACACGAAAGCCAGGGGAGCGAACGGG
rnacentral:rRNA from 1 species